AGUGAUUUUCCUGCCUCAGCCUCCCAAGUAGCUGGAAUUACAGGCAACACGUGGUUGGAUGUGGCUGCAAGGAUUCCUUGGCAACAUCAACUAUAAUUACAGGACUAUGAAAGAAGAUUCAAGAAAAUAUCCAUAAAAGGUGUAGCUGGCUUAAAAGCAAAACGUUCAGCAGCCAAGAACAACUGGACUUUCGUGUUCUCGAGUUCGGAAUGGAGAAUCAAAAUUUUCUCUCAGCAGAGGUCAGAGGAAGCAGACAAACUUACAGCAGAAUCUCAUCACUUGUUCAUAUUUCAGAGGAGAGAUAACUCCAUGCCUUGAAUCAACAGCUUGAAGGUGACUGAAAAUAUCAAUAGUAUUUGGAAUGUUGAGUUAACCACAUUAAUUCUUUGGGUAUAUACCCAGGAAUGGGAUUGCUGGCUCAAAUGGCGUGUCUACUGGAGUGAAUUUAAACACUGUUUGCUAUCGCCAUGGGCAGGACUGUGUUCGACGGUGCUCCUGUGGCUCAGGACAGUGUGACCCAAUGACUGGAGUGUGUCACUCUCCACCUGGCCAAAUGGGAACCAGGUGUCAGGAAGUGCAAAUUCUGUAAGAAGGAAAAAUGAGAAAAGGAAUAUGGAAAAGAAAAGGCAGAUGAACCAAGAGCAGAAAAGUUUUGCCAUGGAGCACAUGAAGAUAUUAACUAGAAUCUCUUCCAAGAAUUCAGAGGAUGUAAUGAAAAAGUGUUCUCUAUAAAAUGUAUGGUUACUGCAUCUGAAGUAGAGAAAAAUGUUUUUCCUUCCCGGUGCGAUGGCUCAUGCCUGUAAUCCCAGAACUUUGGGAGCCAAGGUAGUUCGA